rnacentral:rRNA from 1 species
UACGGAGGGUGCAAGCGUUGUCCGGAAUCACUGGGCGUAAAGGGCGCGUAGGCGGCUCAUGAAGGCUGUGGUGAAAGUCCGGGGCUCAACCUCGGAUCGGCCGUGGCGACUCGUGGGCUGGAGCACUGUAGAGGCGGGUGGAAUUCCGGGUGUAGCGGUGGAAUGCGUAGAGAUCCGGAAGAACACCAGUGGCGAAGGCGGCCCGCUGGGCAGUGGCUGACGCUGAUGCGCGACAGCAUGGGGAGCAAACGAGG